GUUCAUAUUAUAAACUGAAGUUUACCAAAACCCAAGCUAUGGCACUAGAAGUACCAUAACAGAUGGAGCUCUUAACCCCUUAAGAACUCGUUUUCCUGGCACUAUAGUGUUAAUAGGUCCCCCCCCUCCCGCCAGACUCGAGAGGUUAAGUGGUUAAACACUUGCCUUUCUCCAGCGCCGGGCUCCCUCGGCGCUGGGGACUCUCCUCCCUCUUCCGACGUCAUCCGCCGAAUGUGCAUGCGCGGCAAGAGCCUUUCUCAAUGCUUUCCUAUGGACGUCUGCGUCUUCUCACUGUGAUUUUCACAGUGAGAGGCGCGGAAGCGUAUUUUGCGGCUGUCAAUGAGACAGCAACUAGAGGCUGGAUUAACCCUAAUGUAAACAUAGCAGUUUCUCUGAAACUGCUAUGUUUACAGCUGCAGGGUUAAAGGACCACUAUAGGCACCCAGACCACUUCAGCUUAAUGAAGUGGUCUGGGUGCCAGGUCCAGGUAGGUUUAACCCUUUUUUCUAUAAACAUAGCAGUUUCAGAGAAAUCAUUUUCAGAGAUUGACAGCCGCUAGAGGCGCUUUUCACUGUGAUUUUUCACAGUGAGAAGACGCCAGCGUCC